GUAGUCCACGCUGUAAACGAUGUCGACUUGGAGGUUGUUCCCUUGAGGAGUGGCUUCCGGAGCUAACGCGUUAAGUCGACCGCCUGGGGAGUACGGCCGCAAGGUUAAAACUCAAAUGAAUUGACGGGGGCCCGCACAAGCGGUGGAGCAUGUGGUUUAAUUCGAUGCAACGCGAAGAACCUUACCUACUCUUGACAUCCAGAGAACUUAGCAGAGAUGCUUUGGUGCCUUCGGGAACUCUGAGACAGGUGCUGCAUGGCUGUCGUCAGCUCGUGUUGUGAAAUGUUGGGUUAAGUCCCGCAACGAGCGCAACCCUUAUCCUUUGUUGCCAGCGGUUCGGCCGGGAACUCAAAGGAGACUGCCAGUGAUAAACUGGAGGAAGGUGGGGAUGACGUCAAGUCAUCAUGGCCCUUACGAGUAGGGCUACACACGUGCUACAAUGGCAUAUACAAAGAGAAGCGACCUCGCGAGAGCAAGCGGACCUCAUAAAGUAUGUCGUAGUCCGGAUUGGAGUCUGCAACUCGACUCCAUGAAGUCGGAAUCGCUAGUAAUCGUAGAUCAGAAUGCUACGGUGAAUA
rnacentral:rRNA from 1 species